AUGAACCGGCAAUGGAUGUAUGGUGACAGACACACCUCCGAGUACAUUAAGGGCGUGCAUAAUUUUCUCGAAGUGGCUGAGGCAAACAAGCAGAAUGGUUUUAUGUGUUGUCCAUGCCCUAAAUGUGGGAAUACGAAGUCUUACUUUGACCGGAAAAUCCUUCACACCCACCUGCUUUACAAGGGUUUCAUGCCACACUAUAAUGUUUGGACGAGGCACAAAGAAAUAGGGGUUAUGAUGGAAGACGUCGAAGAAGAAGAGGACGAUGACAACUAUGUGCCCCCUGAAUACGGUGAUGCUGCAAUGGGGGGAGCAGCUAAAGAUCAAGAGGAACCAGACGAUGUGCUCGAUGCUGCUUCAACGGGGGAAGCUAUUGAAGAUCAAGAGGAACCAUACAAUGUGGCCGAUGAUGAUGAUCUCCGCCGGGUCAUUGUCGAUGCAAAGACGCAAUGCGGAAGUCAAAAGGAGAAGCUGAAGUUCGAUCGCAUGUUAGACGAUCACAAUAAAAGGGUUGUACCCCAAUUGCGAAGAUGGUAA
rnacentral:rRNA from 1 species